rnacentral:rRNA from 1 species
AACGAACGCUGGCGGCAUGCCUAACACAUGCAAGUCGAACGAGACCUUCGGGUCUAGUGGCGCACGGGUGCGUAACGCGUGGGAACCUGCCCUUAGGUUCGGCAUAACUCCCCGAAAGGGGUGCUAAUACCGGAUAAUGUCUUCGGACCAAUGAUUUAUCGCCUUUGGAUGGGCCCGCGUUGGAUUAGCUCGUUGGUAGGGUAAAAGCCUACCAAGGCGACGAUCCAUAGCUGGUCUGAGAGGAUGCUCAGCCACACUGGGACUGAGACACGGCCCAGACUCCUACGGGAGGCAGCAGUGGGGAAUAUUGGACAAUGGGCGAAAGCCUGAUCCAGCAAGGCCGCGUGAGUGAUGAAGGCCGUAGGGUUGUAAAGCGCUUUUACCCGGGAUGAUAAUGACAGUACCGGGAGAAUAAGCUCCGGCUAACUCCGUG